UGUCACCGGCCUCGCCUGCGCCCUGUCCCGUCCCACUGUCUCCUCUCCUCUCCACACCACCAGGGCCCCCGCCAGCUGCCAGGAGCCCCAGCACCAGCUGUGGGCGGGAUUCUGGCCGGGCAGCCUCCCUCUGGGAAUCAUCGGCCUAUUCCCUGGGUUCCUUCUUCCCUAAAGACAGUGCCUGGCCCCUGCUGUGGGCCAAACUGCCUGCACCCACCAGGUUUUGGGGUCUCAGGGUCACCUGCUUCCCCUCCCUAAUCCUGGCCUCUGCCCCACUUCUGGGAGACCCCUUUUUGAUCCCCAGCCCAACCUUGCUCAGGGACAGAACCACCCUCUGGGGUGCAGGGCUGGGCUGUGACACCUUGUUCUGCCUCCUGGGCUGUGCCCCUCCCCACAGGGGCCUCGCCAGGGCCAUGCCCGGCAUGGUGGGGAGGGGGCUAGCACCUCACAUCAGGGCAGGGCCAGUGUCCAUUGUGAGGUAAGGCGAUGAAGAUGAUGAUGCCCUCAGAAGUUGGCAAAGAGGCUGACACAGGCCAAAAGGGGUGCCAGGGGUGCAGGACGGGAGGUGGGUGUGAGGCACAGGUAACCUUGACCUUGAGGAAGGGGCAGUGGUGGCCGUGAACCUGCGAAUCCACGGAGAAGAAUCAGACGAGGGGCAGACAUGUUCGUGAACUUGCCUGAGUUCCCACGGCAACUAAGUGGUGGGGCCGGGGCCUAAGCCAAGGCAGCCUGGCCCCAUAGCCCCUGUGACUAACCACAUCCCACGUGGCUCACAGGACCUCCCUCUGCCAUGGGCAGGGGUACUGAUUGGCUUCAAAAACUCCUGGACAGCAGAUCGUGAGCGAUGGUUUUGGGUGCAGUCCCUCCCUCAGAACACCCUCCUCGACCCUGACAGGCCCGGCUUCCUCUGGGCACUGAGGAAACACCCGAUGGACUGAGUGUGGUGGGCUUGGCAGGUGCGUAACUCGAUGCCCUGCAUGCAAAUGGUGCCCGUGAGAAGCUGAACCUUCAUCUCACAGGCUGAUGGCUUUAAGGCCCCAGCUGUUCUUCUUCCAGCCGACAAGGCGUUUAAAGCACCUACUAUGUGCCAGACGCCACGCUAGGGCAUGGCACAGGGCAGAUGCACUGUCCAGCAAGUUCGCUGCCUUGUGUGUGCCUUCCAGCGUGCCUGGAGUCACAUCAAGAGACGCUCCCAAUAUUGGCCUCUGCCCCCUGAGAGCUUGCACUCACACACUUAGGCCCUGAGAGGGAAAGGGAUUUUCCCUGAGUUACACAGUGAGGUCAUCCCUCUCCAAGGUGACACCCCUGUAGCUCCCUGAAAACAUCAGGCCUGGUUGGGCAGCCAGGAGGAGGGUGAGUGAGUGAUCAGCCAUGUAACUGCCUCCCACCGGCUCUCCCUCCCCCAGUGCAAGUUGCUAAAUCUUUCUGUGCCUCUCAGCUACCUCACAGGGAUGAGAGAGCUCAUUACAGUAAUGCCAGACAGGUUUUAUCCAAUGUUUAAUUUUGCAAGUGCUGACACGUGUUUAUUUAAACAUGUUAUUAAACACAUAGAAAUACCAUGACGUGGAAAGUCUUCUGAUCAUUCUCAUUUUCCAGAAGAGGAAACUGAGGCACAGAGAGAGUGCAAGGGACACGUUGGUAAGGGACACAGCUGGGACCUGGGCCCAGGCAGGAUGGGUGUGGGGCUGCCUCUGUACCAGCGGAGCAUGCAAGGUCUGAGUUUGAGUUAAUGCUCACUAUUUAGUAAUCGUUACUUCAGACGAUAAUACAGUGAUGUUCUAUGUUACAUAAUAAAAGUAAGAGCUUACACUGUGGAAGAGAGAUCCAAGUACUAGGUGCGGGGGGUGGGGGGUGCUGGGGGGAGGAAGGGAUCCCACCACCGGAAGGGGAGAGAGGUGGUCUCCAGGGCCUGAGAUGCACUGGAAUAGGAAGGAGCUUUUAAGGAGCUCAGAAAGGCAUCACAACCUGCUGAGGUUCUUGGCACACAAGCUGGCGCAAAGAGCCAUCUGGUCUACCACCUGCCUGGUUAGAUGGGGCCCGGUUAUUGAAGGCGGUUUUCCAUUCAUUCAUGCCACAAACCUGCACGCUGGUUCCCUGGCUCAUGGCCUCGGUGUUCUCUGCUGUGCCUGGGUGGAGGCUGGGGACCCAUUCCUGAGGCUUGUUGGGGCAUAGCUGGCUGCCCCUUGCCCGCAGCUGUAUGGGCCUCCUGGCAGGCGUGAGCCAGCAGGCCUCUGGGAAAAUCAAGGGCAGGCAGAGGAAGCCUGGGGCCCACUGUGGAGACGUCUGCCCACCGGCUGUUCCCAUCUUCGUCUUCCCACUGGAGUAAGGGCAGAGGCCGUGGACUCCAUCCAGCCUGGGCCUGAGUGCAAGGAUAGUGGCUUCCCUGGGACAGGGAAAAUGGGCAGAGGGUGGGGUUUAAAAGGAGAGGUGUCUGGCUGGGACAUCUCCAGGCAGCAUCAGGCUCGCAAAGGACACUGUGCCAGAAUGCUGUCAGCUGAGUCUUAUUUCUGGGCUGAGAAAGGGGAACCCAGGACACGGAAUGCCGGGUGGCUGGGGCUGGGGUUUGCAGAGGAGAUGGUGGGGGAGGGUUUGCAGAGGUGAUGGUGGGGGAGGCCCCCACCUGAGUGCCAGUGGCUGGGGCUGGAGCUUGCAGAGGUGAUGGUGGGGGAGGGUUUGCAGAGGUGAUGGUGGGGGAGGCCCCUGCCUGAGUGCCAGUGGCUGGGGCUAGGGUUUGCAGAGGCGGUGUUGGGGGAGGGUUUGCAGAGGUGAUGGUGGGGAAGGGUUUGCAGAGGUGAUGGUAGGGGAGGCCCCCCACCUCCUAGCCAUUUGCUCCUGGCCUGAUCCCAGUGCUUCGAACCCCACCAUUUGGGGAGAUUCCUCUGGGCCCUGUUGUGUCUUUGGUUUUCAAGAAGAUGCCAAAGGUCUGCCAACAGAUCUGGAAAGGGCAGUGUCCUCACAGAAUCAGAGUCUGUGGCCCCAUCCAAACUCGGCUCCUCCUUCUGUCGGUUGAGGUAGGGAGGGAGGGCACUGCGGGGGCUGGGAGGCUUGGGGAACAACAGGGCCAUGUCUAAGACACAGGGGUCUCCAGGGGUGGGUGUGUCCAGAGGGCCCUGUCUGCGGAAGCGGGAAUUAGACGGGGCUGCCUAGCCCAGAGCCGGUCCUGUUGGUGGGCGGGGCCCUGUUGGUGGGCGAGGCCCUGUUGGUGGCUUGGGUCCUGUUGGUGGGCGGGGCCCUGUUGGUGGGCGGGGCCCUGUUGGUGGCUUGGGUCCUGUUGGUGGGCGGGGCCCUGUUGGUGGGCGGGGCCCUGUUGGUGGCUUGGGUCCUGUUGGUGGGCGGGGCCCUGUUGGUGGCUUGGGUCCUGUUGGUGGGCGGGGCCCUGUUGGUGGCUUGGGUCCUGUUGGUGGGCGGGGCCCUGUUGGUGGGCGGGGCCCUGUUGGUGGCUUGGGUCCUGUUGGUGGGCGGGGUCCUGUUGGUGGGCGGGGCCCUGUUGGUAACCCCUGGGGGUGGAGAUGGAGGCACUCAUUCAACCCCAGAUGUGAUUCAGGCACUCAGGCCCCUGGACAGCUCCGGGCUGGUCCCAGACACUCUUGGGGGCAAAAAAAGAGGAAGCUCACGUUUCCAGCCUCCUGUGCAUCCCAUCCUAAGAACCCCUGGAGUGUGGCUCCGCGGAGGUGAGAUUCUCAGGAAGAGAAAUGAGGGCAGAGGCCCAAGACCCUUCUGUCCAGGAUAGGAUGCCAGAGAGGUCACAGCUGAGGUCCACAAACCAAUCAAUGGGCGAGAGGGAAUCUGAACAAUCUGAACCAACACGGCCAGGGAGGGGGCCCUUCUGGAGUCCUAGAGUGGCUCCAUCAUUAACUUGAGUGUGACCGAGGACCUCAGCUUCCCCAGCCAGAACACAGAUGGGAGAGUCUCCAGGUGGGGUGACCGCACAUCCUGGUCCGCCCUACUGUCCCGAUGUCACUGCAAACGCCACCUCUUUGUACUCUCAGAAGUGCUCUGGUUUGGACACUAAGUUACAUGGUCGGUGUCUCUCUGGGCACCCUUUGCAUUCAAAGCAUGCUAAUGAUUUCCUCAUAUUUCAACUUUUAGCAAGAAAGGCUUUCGGCCAGGACCAAGGAGAGGGCCUGUGGAUAGGUCAGUCACCCCCAAUGCUACUUCCCAUUCUCCAGUCAGGCCCGCUGAGGGUGACCCACUCUCCCUUCUUCCCACAAGGUACUGCGGCCCCAGGGUGUCCAGAGGAAUGAGUGGCCAAGACCUUUUGUUGGUCCCUAUUCUCCUCUUCCUCCUUUACUAAUUGAACUCCAAAUUUAAGCUGGACCCACCUAAAUACUACAUUUCUAGCUUCCCUUGCACGUAGGACCACAUUCUAGCCAACGGGACGUGAGUGGAGUUGAAGUGUUCCACUGGUGAACGACUCCCUUAAAAGGAAUGGGCAUGCAUGCCCCUUGACAGCUGGGAUGCAGAUGUGAUGGUGGGAGCGGGAGCAGCCACUUUGGUUCCAGACAUGGAAACUGCAGGUGAUGGUGACAGAGCCACCCUACCAGCCCUGGGCCACUGACUUCUGGCUGUUUGUGAAAGAGAAAUAAACUUCUAUCUUAUUUAAACUACCGUUCUUCAACAGCUUGUCCUACCUAAUACAGAUGAGAGGCUUCUCGCUCAGAGGAGCAGAUUACAAGGGAGGGGGCCUGGCACAAUCUGGAGGUACUCUGCGCAUAGGGGGAAGGGAGGAGAAGCAGGACUACAACUUCCUCCUCCCCUGCGACCUGUCCCUGACAUGCCCACCCUGGCACCACAGCCCCACCCUGGCCAUCCCUAUAUGCUGCACAUGCCACGUGUGUUGGAGACGCCACUGUUUCUGCCAUCUCUCAUACCCGAAAGCACCCUGUGCCCCUCUAAGUUCCACACACUCUUCUUUCCUAGAAGGCCACUCUGAUCUGUCUGAUUCUCUGAGGUCUGCAUGCAUGCACCGUUCCUCUCUGGGAAGGUCAGGCUCCCCCAUGAACCACAUCCCCAGCCAGGCCUGGGCUCCCAGGGGCACAGCUAAGGCUCCAGCUCCCCCGGCACCUUCCUCUGAGUGGAGCACACAGUAGGACCGUAGCAUGUGCCUGCAGACUGGACACACUGCCUACCUCCACCUGCCCCUUCCUGGGUGUCCCAGAGUCUCAGCGUGUCAGCUGAGCAAGCCUGGAACUGCGGCCCACUGAGGUGCUCAUGGCAUCUCAGGGCCAUGCUGCAAGCGGCCAGGCCAGGAUACUCCAAUGUCCUGAGCAGCCUAAGCUAGGGCAGGCAGAGAGCCCCAUGGGCUGCUCCAGGUACCUGUGAUCUCCAUGCAGAGAACAGCAAGGCUGUGAUACUGGAGUGUGGGUGGCUCUCCUGAGCUCCGGCUCUGGGCAGAUGCACGGCCCCUGUCUGCCUCUAUUUCCUGCGUGCGGCGGCACCACUGAUGCCUAUCGCUCAGGGCUGUGGUGUUACGGAGAGGCUGCAUCAAGAAGGUGCUCAGUAAAUGUGUCCUUCUCCUUCCACGCCUUUCCCCCUCCUCCCUCCUGCAUGCUCUGGCAGAGAAGCAGCUCCUUGAGCUCUGGGCCACAUCUUUCCAGAUCAAAUCAUUGCUAUGAAAAAACAGCAGCCCUGUCUACUAAUUUCCCUCUGGCUCCCAUGCCCCAUGCCGGCUGCCUGCGCCCUGGCCCCUGCAGAUCCUCCUCUUCUCCCUACUCUCCUUCCUCUCCCCUCCCCCUCCAUGGCUGCCGUCAAGCCAGGCCUUGGUGCUGGCCUCCUCCCCAGGCCCUCCAGUUCCCCUGCACGCUCUCUGACCCACUUUAGCUGCUGGAAUCACAGUUUCCCGGGUGAGGCUGGGGGAGUGCGGCUGCAGUCCUGGCUGUGAGUCACUGGGGCUGAGUUUGCAGGGGGAGGGGACAGCUAUGACACGCAUGCAGCCCCAGGGGUCAUCACGUGACACGUAUGCACAGGGAUGCCUACACCUGUGUGUGCAGAAUGUGGAUAUCCUUGCACAUGCAGGGGACCUGGGGAUCACACCUGUGCAGGCAUGUAGCCGGGCCAGCCUGGGGCACACAAACACGCACGCACACACAGACAUACGCCCACGUCCAGCGGCAGGAAGGAAGGCAGCUAAGGCUCUGGAGGGAGGAUGGGGGAGAAAGACUCAGUGGCACCUGCCCAGAUGGCUCGCCGGGCACAUGCCAGGGCCCCAAGAGGGCUUCAGAAUUUACCCAGGCCGUCACCUCACCAGAUGCUGUGUGAGCCCCUGGGGCCUCCACAGCACACAACACGAUGACCCUAGACCCUCUGGCUGUGGGACCAGCAGGGAAACCUGGAAUUAGCUCAAGCCAAGGCUGGAUUGCAGGGUAGUAGGACCUCAGGGUGGGCAGAACCUUGGGGUGGGCAGGACCUUGGGGUGAGCAGGGGAUGGGAACACGUGGAAGAGGAGCAGGCACAGCUGAGAGGGCUCCUGGCUUCUCAUUUACUUACUCACAGACCCUCACCCCCAACUCACUGAGGAAGAGCACAGAGAGGUUACAUGACUUGCCUCUGUGUGCACAGCUGGUGAGCAAUGGCGCCCACAGUUAAACCUGGGCCUGGGACAGAUCCCUCCUGCUGGGUGCCAAACAGCAGGUCAGAGACCAGGGGUCAGAGGCCAGAGUUCAAAGUCGGGGGUAGGGUCUAUGAAGGGAGGAGGCCAGAGCUCAGGCUGAAAGACAAACUCUGCGGCAGGGAUGGGCAAACUGGGGCCGGAGGCAGCCUUCAGGAGCCCUGACCCAGGGGGAGGAGGGAAUCUCCAGGUCCUGCCCAGCGGGAGAGGCCAGAGGCAGGGGGCUGGGCAUCUGCAGCCACGCCUUCUGUCUGCUAAUUAAGUUACAGGAGUCACAGGAUGUAAAUUACAGGAGUCACAGGAUGUAAAUUACAGGAGGAAAUUAAAAGACAAAUGAAGAUCUAGGAGCAGAAGCUGGAUCCCUGCAGCCUGGCCUGCCUGCAGGAGGAGGCUGAUUGCAGCGGGGAAGGGGCUUUCUGGGAGGCAGAAGUGGGCAGGAGACCCAGGUGCUGGGGAGGGGAAAGGAAUAGCUCCCUUCUCAUCCAGGGUGGCCCACGGGGCGACUCCAUCCAGGCUGGGCUUGGGCAGUCCCAGGUGUGUGCAGAGGGGAGACAGGAUGGAGGCAGGGGGUGCCCUUGUGCCGGGCUCCUAUGAGGAGAAGCAGCCAGGUGUGGGGUGGAGGCGGAAGCAGGGAGAACCCAGGCUGGGGGAUGCCCCACAGUGGGCCGUGGCUCAUCUCACAAAUGCCAGCAUGCAGCCUUGUGAAUACCACCAGGACAAGGUCUAUUGCCUGGCAACUAGUAGGUGCCAAACAACUACUUGGCAAAUGAAUAAGACAUAUAGUAAGCACCAACCCAAAGGCAGCAGUGACUGCCGUGGGCAAGAGAACGGCUCUUCUCUGCCGUUGGCUGAGAAGCUUCCUUCUCAGGCUGUUGGCUGCUACCUUCCUAAUGACAAGGAACAGACUUAGCUGGUGUAUUCCCUUCUCCUUCACCUCUACCCCACUUCCCAGUUUCCUGCCUGGGAUGCAGAUACGAUGGCCAGAGGUGUGGCAGCCAUCCUGAGGCCAUGAGGACAAACGUCCGCAGUGGCAGAGCAGGAAGCUACAAGGAACCUGGACCAUUGACAACCCCCUUAGGCUGUGUACCAGCUCCACUGCUGCUGUCUUUGCGUAAGAAAAAUGACCCCCACGUGGGGUUCAACCAUGCAGUGUUUAGGUUUGUCUUGCGCAGCCAAAUUCAGUCCCUAGCUGACACAGCAUAAAAUACUACUGAAUCAUUUUAUGAGAAAGUUACUCUCACUUUAAAACUCUUGAUUACAACAAGAAGAAAGUCUCAGAUCAGGGUUGGUGAGUCUUGAACACCUCUGCACACUUACUGCUCUCCCUUUUUAAUAAAGCAAUAGUAGGCCUUGGGCUCUGAGCCUCCCCCGGGGCUACAGCAUCCAACUAGAAUUUAAUAACAUUGUUUUGUUUCCACUGAAUUUAUUUUUAUGAUUAUGAAUUCUAUUUAUGGCAAGAGAGGCUUGUUUUCCAUUUGUAGUAGUGCUAUAAAUCUUCCCUUUUAAAUAAAUGUAUUUAAGUUUUUAAAAACUGAAUGGAUUUAGAGGAAGGCGGUAGGCUUGAAGUCAGAGGUGGUGUGGGGGGUGGUGAACGGACAGCUCUGGUGGGGAUGCUGCCCAGCCCUGCACUGCUGCUUUGAAGGACAGUCUGUCCCGGGCAGGGGGAGCGGGCAGGGCUGGGGUGGUUAAGCCUGGCCCCUCCGCAUGCUGGGGGCUGAGCCUCUGUCGUGAGAGGGUUUGUUCCACCUGGAGACAGGCGAUGGGUUUCCCUUGGGGCUGGGGAAUCUCUAGAAGAUGCAACCUCAGAGGCGUAGGCUGGUCAACUGGGCGAUGAGCUGUGGGCUGUGACUUGAAGCUGACCUGGUCACUGAGCCACUAACUCAACGUCCCAGGUUCCUUCCAGCCCGCCCGUGUGAGGCAUGACUUCAAAUGCGGGGACUCGGGGAGCCGGCGUGACCUUUUGCUGAUUAGCUCGUGCUGUUUGCUCAGCAGCCGCCAGCUGAUCUCUGGACGGCGGCUCAACAUGCCAGCCACAGCCGCCUGUCACCCUCUGGCAGAUAAACAAUUGCUCCUGGAGAGGUGGGGGAGGGGAGCCGGGCGUGCGGCAGUGCUGGGGGAGUGGCACGCAGGGUGCGGGGAUUGGCGAGGUGGCCUUGGGCGAGUCGCUGGGAUGCCAGCCCUGCACUUGAGCAGCACCUCUGCUGGCAAGGACAUCGCCCCCCCCUCCCCAGAGAGGGAAACCGAGACCUACGGAGGGGAAGGGGCUUGCAGAGAGGGUCUGGGCUCACCUCCAUGGGCUCCCAGGCCCUGCUGCCUUCAACAGGCCUCUGCCUCCUAUCACAGCCACCGGCCUCUCUCCCUGGUGCUGAAGGAGUCCAGCCAAGGUCACCCAGGGUCACAGGAUACCAGAGAGCCCCUUCUAAACUCUCAAUCACUGCCUGGAUAAAAGCAACUUCUAGGGACCAGGCCUUGAACACAGGAAGUGGAGGGGAGGGGCAGGGGCUUUAGAAGCUGGGAAACUUCAACUCGCUGAGUGACAAAAGGAUGUCCCUAGAAGGGAUCUCGGAAACAAUGCGUCCCACCCCAAGUUCCUGAGGAAGACUCAGCGGAGCGGCUGCCUCCACCGUCAGACCGCACAGGAGCCAGGGCCCAUCUGUCUUGCCACCUGCCUUCUGAGGUGGGCCGGGCUGGGAAGCGUCCCAUCUACUCAUUCAACAAACAUUUAUGCACUGUCUCCCACCUGCCGGGCUCUGAGGCUCACAGCACAGAGUCUGCAGCCUGGGGCUGAAGCGAGAGAGAAGACAGAGAUUUCAUGCCUGGCGAGGACUCCGGAGGCUAUGGGGCUGGGGUGAUCCCACCAGGCUGUGGUGAGCCUGGAGGAGCCUGAACUUGGGCUGGGAUGGAAGGACAGAUAUCUGUGGGAGGAAGGAAAGAACUAACAUGGAUGCAGCAUCGGUGUUCCGGAGACUGCUGAGUUCCCACUCCAUGCUCAGGGCAGUACCCAGGGUGGUCGAAUGAGUAUCUACUUGAUGCCAGGCGGUCUACACAUCCCACUGAACGCUUCCCUCCUGAGGGGCCUUAUUUUCCCCAUUUUAUAGAUAAAAUGUGGGCAGGGACUUGAAGCUGUCCUGAUAAAAGAUAAGAGAUAAAAGAGGGACGCCAGAGGUAGAAGAUGACUUGCCCAGCAUUUCACAUCCAAAACCCAGCAGGGCAGAGCUUGUCUGACUUUUAAAAAGGAAAGAAAGCCUGGG
rnacentral:lncRNA from 1 species